GGAAUAGGAAAAGUGGAGCAGUGCAGUCACACAUCUCCUACGUCACAGGACCAGGCAUUCCCCAGCGCGUCAUUCUUCAGAGCCUAGAUCCCCCCACCCCAGUCUCUGCUUCUUGUAAACUGGCUCCUGGCUCUAAAUCAUCCAGGCAGCUUCUCUCCCACGUGGCUCAGCACCUCCACACUCCACUUCCCAUCCCACCACAUGGAUUUUAAGGCCUUUGGAUGCCUAGCAUUAGUCUCACGGCUGAAGUCCUGCUGUUCUGUCCCUAUCUGAAGCGGUCCUUUGUGGAGGGAAGCUCAGCCUCCACAGAAGACCACAUGCACCCUUGACAGAUGUGACGAUGAGUGGGGUGUCCAACGUGAGGUCUGGAGUCCCUGACCACUGCUUAAGUAGAUGAUGAAGAUUUGACUUGAUGUCACUUAGACCCUCCCUGUAGCUGCAAGAUCUAAUGGCAGAAUCCUGGAGAGACUACUCAAGCGUUCUCGCCACCGAGCUCACUGAGGAUGGCCGCCUUUGUAUUUC
rnacentral:lncRNA from 1 species